AUGACCGCACUAGGAAGAGGCCGGUAAGAACUCGCUGGCGGCAAGGCUACGAACUACCUAAAAGGACGUAUGGAGCAGGGCCUGGGCGGGGUUAGGAGGGGAUCCUGUGACGUCUCGUUCCCUCCCCCGGCUCACGUGGGUGCCACCCACCUGCCCGGCCCACAGGCUACGGAGAAGGCUUCGACGACGUCAUCAUCCAGGGGGAUCUGGAGGAGCUGAAGUUUGUGGCUUUUUACACUAAAGGCGACGAGGUGAUCGCCGUGGCCAGCAUGAACUACGAUCCCAUUGUGUCCAAGGUCGCUGAGGUGCUGGCCUCAGGCCGUGCCAUCCGGAAGCGGGAGGUGGAGCGCAGCAAGCACACAGUGGUGGCCUAUAAAGAUGCCAUUUAUGUAUUUGGUGGAGACAAUGGGAAGACCAUGCUCAAUGACCUCCUGCGGUUCGAUGUGAAAGACUGCUCCUGGUGCAGGGCCUUUACCACUGGGACCCCACCGGCCCCCCGUUACCACCACUCGGCCGUCGUCUAUGGGAGCAGCAUGUUUGUCUUUGGGGGUUACACUGGGGACAUUUAUUCCAAUUCUAACUUGAAGAAUAAAAACGACCUCUUUGAAUACAAGUUUGCAACUGGCCAGUGGACGGAGUGGAAAAUUGAAGGACGGUUGCCAGUCGCUAGGUCAGCCCAUGGGGCCACGGUGUACAGUGACAAGCUGUGGAUCUUUGCUGGCUAUGACGGCAACGCCAGGUUGAAUGACAUGUGGACAAUUGGCCUCCAGGACCGAGAGCUCACCUGCUGGGAGGAGGUGGCCCAGAGUGGCGAGAUCCCCCCAUCUUGCUGCAACUUCCCCGUGGCUGUGUGCCGGGACAAGAUGUUUGUAUUCUCUGGGCAAAGCGGAGCCAAAAUAACCAACAACCUCUUCCAGUUUGAAUUCAAGGACAAGACGUGGACACGCAUCCCAACUGAACACCUGCUCCGGGGCUCCCCACCACCCCCGCAGCGGCGCUACGGGCAUACCAUGGUGGCCUUUGACCGCCACCUCUAUGUGUUUGGGGGUGCGGCCGACAACACGCUGCCCAACGAGCUGCACUGCUAUGACGUGGACUUCCAGACCUGGGAGGUCGUCCAGCCCAGCUCCGACAGCGAGGUUGGUGGGGCUGAAGUGCCCGAGCGAGCCUGUGCUUCCGAGGAGGUGCCCACCCUGACCUAUGAGGAGCGGGUUGGCUUCAAGAAGUCCCGAGAUGUGUUUGGCCUGGACUUUGGCACCACCUCAGCCAAGCAGCCCACCCAGCCUGCCUCGGAGCUGCCCAGUGGGAGGCUCUUCCACGCGGCUGCUGUCAUCUCGGACGCCAUGUACAUCUUCGGGGGCACGGUGGACAACAACAUCCGCAGCGGGGAGAUGUACAGGUUCCAGUUCUCCUGUUACCCUAAAUGCACGCUGCACGAGGACUACGGGCGGCUGUGGGAGAGCCGCCAGUUCUGCGACGUGGAGUUCGUGCUGGGUGAGAAGGAGGAGUGCGUGCAGGGCCACGUAGCCAUUGUCACAGCGCGGAGCCGCUGGCUUCGCAGGAAGAUCACGCAGGCGCGGGAGAGGCUGGCCCAGAAGCUGGAGCAGGAGGCCGCCCCAGUUCCCAGGGAGGCCCCCGGCGUGGCUGCUGGUGGGGCCCGGCCGCCCCUGCUGCACGUGGCCAUCCGGGAGGCCGAGGCCCGGCCCUUCGAGGUGCUCAUGCAGUUCCUCUACACCGACAAGAUCAAAUACCCACGGAAAGGCCAUGUGGAGGAUGUGCUGCUCAUCAUGGAUGUGUACAAACUGGCACUGAGCUUCCAGUUGUGCCGCCUGGAGCAGCUGUGCCGCCAGUACAUCGAGGCCUCCGUGGACCUGCAGAACGUGCUGGUUGUGUGCGAGAGUGCCGCCCGGCUGCAGCUGAGCCAACUCAAGGAGCACUGCCUGAACUUCGUGGUAAAGGAGUCCCACUUCAACCAGGUGAUCAUGAUGAAGGAGUUCGAGCGCCUCUCCUCUCCACUGAUAGUGGAGAUUGUGCGGCGGAAGCAGCAGCCGCCCCCUCGCACUCCCUUGGACCAGCCAGUGGACAUUGGCACAUCUCUGAUCCAGGACAUGAAGGCAUACCUGGAGGGAGCGGGCGCGGAAUUCUGUGACAUCACUCUGUUGCUUGACGGGCACCCACGGCCAGCCCACAAGGCUAUCCUGGCCGCCCGCUCCAGCUACUUUGAAGCCAUGUUCCGGUCCUUCAUGCCCGAAGAUGGGCAGGUGAACAUCUCCAUCGGGGAGAUGGUGCCCAGCAGGCAGGCCUUCGAGUCCAUGCUGCGCUACAUCUACUACGGCGAGGUCAACAUGCCGCCCGAGGACUCGCUCUACUUGUUUGCGGCCCCCUACUACUACGGCUUCUACAACAACCGGCUGCAGGCGUACUGCAAGCAGAACCUGGAGAUGAACGUGACGGUGCAGAACGUGCUGCAGAUCCUGGAGGCAGCUGACAAAACGCAGGCACUGGACAUGAAGCGGCACUGCCUGCACAUCAUUGUGCACCAGUUCACCAAGGUCUCCAAGUUGCCCACCCUGCGGUCGCUGAGCCAGCAGCUGCUGCUGGACAUCAUAGACUCCCUGGCCUCCCACAUCUCAGACAAGCAGUGCGCAGAGCUGGGCGCCGACAUCUGAGGCCCUGUGGCGCCUGCCCAUUGUGAAGAAUCGCCGUGCCUGCCUGCCCUGCCUACUGAGAAGACUACCGGCUAUGCGCAUGCCUAUGGCAGUGGGUGCACCUGCCAGGCCAAGGGUCAGGGUGCCCAGAGCCUCCAAAGAGAGCUGAGGGGAUGUGGGGCCCCAAACUCAUUAAUUCACUGAAGACACAGGUCCCACAGGGAGCGGAUGAUGAAGCAGACCCCCUCCUGUCAUCACCCUCUCCUGGUGUAGUGUGGAUGCGAGGCCACGGCUCAGUGAUGGGCUCACCACCCAGAAGUGGGGAGAGACUUUGGGCCUCCCACCCAGUGGGGCUUGGCCUGGCUUCUGUGGCCUGGGCGUGUUGUGGACUCAGGCACUGGGGCCUGUCACCAAGGCUCCUCCAACAUGCGGGAGGAGGCUUAGCAGACUUGCGCUGCACCAGCGAAUCUGCCUGGGCUGCUCCUGUCCCACCCACCCUCACUGAGAUCCAUGUAAGGGGCUCCUCUUCCCACCUGGAACUUGUGAGUGGGGACCCAUGAUGUAUGGGUCUCACCUGACUUGAGGUGAAUUUUGGAGUGAAGGGCCCUGAGGUCAGCUCCCAGGUCGGUCGUGCUGGGCCAGGCCUGGUUUUCACAGGGGCUGAAGGAUCCCAGUCCACCUGUGUGCAUGUCAGGGCUCGGCCGGGAAGAAGCCAGCAAAGUCCCCCGUGUCCCUUGCUGAGUAUUCUGUCACAGACAAGCCUCCAUUAAAGCCACAGCAGUGCUACCCACCAC
rnacentral:lncRNA from 1 species